CUGAGUACGGCGGAACACGUGAAAUUCCGUCGGAAUCCGGGAGGACCAUCUCCCAAGGCUAAAUACUCCCUAGUGACCGAUAGUGAACCAGUACCGUGAGGGAAAGGUGAAAAGCACCCCGGAAGGGGAGUGAAACAGUUCCUGAAACCGUGUGCCUACAAGUAGUUAGAGCCCGUUAAUGGGUGAUAGCGUGCCUUUUGUAGAAUGAACCGGCGAGUUACGAUUUGUUGCAAGGUUAAGCGGAAAAAGCGGAGCCGUAGCGAAAGCGAGUCUGAAUAGGGCGCAUAAGUAACAGGUCGUAGACCCGAAACCAGGUGAUCUACCCAUGUCCAGGAUGAAGGUAAGGUAAUACUUACUGGAGGUCCGAACCCACGCACGUUGAAAAGUGCGGGGAUGAGGUGUGGGUAGCGGAGAAAUUCCAAUCGAACUUGGAGAUAGCUGGUUCUCUCCGAAAUAGCUUUAGGGCUAGCCUCGAGGUAAAGAGUCAUGGAGGUAGAGCACUGUUUGGACUAGGGGCCCUUCUCGGGUUACCGAAUUCAGAUAAACUCCGAAUGCCAUGUACUUAUACUCGGGAGUCAGACUGCGAGUGAUAAGAUCCGUAGUCGAAAGGGAAACAGCCCAGACCACCAGUUAAGGUCCCCAAAUAUAUGUUAAGUGGAAAAGGAUGUGGGGUUGCUUAGACAACCAGGAUGUUGGCUUAGAAGCAGCCACCAUUGAAAGAGUGCGUAAUAGCUCACUGGUCGAGUGACCCCGCGCCGAAAAUGUACCGGGGCUAAACAUAUUACCGAAACUGUGGAUGAACCUCUUUAGAGGUUCGUGGUAGGAGAGCGUUCUAAGGGCGGUGAAGUCAGACCGGAAGGACUGGUGGAGCGCUUAGAAGUGAGAAUGCCGGUAUGAGUAGCGAAAGAAGGGUGAGAAUCCCUUCCACCGAAUAUCUAAGGUUUCCUGAGGAAGGCUCGUCCGCUCAGGGUUAGUCGGGACCUAAGCCGAGGCCGAUAGGCGUAGGCGAUGGACAACAGGUAGAGAUUCCUGUACCAGUGCUAAUUGUUUAACCGAUGGGGUGACACAGAAGGAUAGGGAAUCGCACGAAUGGAAAUGUGCGUCCAAGCAGUGAGUGUGAGAAGUAGGCAAAUCCGCUUCUCGCGAAGCAUGAGCUGUGAUGGGGAAGGAAAUUAAGUACGGAAGUUCCUGAUUUCACGCUGUCAAGAAAAGCCUCUAGGAAGAGUAGUACUGCCCGUACCGCAAACCGACACAGGUAGAUGAGGAGAGAAUCCUAAGGUGAGCGAGAGAACUCUCGUUAAGGAACUCGGCAAAAUGACCCCGUAACUUCGGGAGAAGGGGUGCUCUAUUAGGGUGCAAGCCCGAGAGAGCCGCAGUGAAUAGGCCCAGGCGACUGUUUAGCAAAAACACAGGUCUCUGCAAAACCGUAAGGUGACGUAUAGGGGCUGACGCCUGCCCGGUGCUGGAAGGUUAAGAGGAGUGCUUAGCUUCGGCGAAGGUACGAAUUGAAGCCCCAGUAAACGGCGGCCGUAACUAUAACGGUCCUAAGGUAGCGAAAUUCCUUGUCGGGUAAGUUCCGACCCGCACGAAAGGCGCAACGAUCUGGGCACUGUCUCAACGAGAGACUCGGUGAAAUUAUAGUACCUGUGAAGAUGCAGGUUACCCGCGACAGGACGGAAAGACCCCGUGGAGCUUUACUGCAACCUGAUAUGGAAUGUUUGUACCGCUUGUACAGGAUAGGUAGGAGCCGAAGAGACGUGUGCGCUAGCAUACGAGGAGGCAAUGGUGGGAUACUACCCUGGCUGUAUGACCAUUCUAACCCGCCACGCUUAGCGCGUGGGGAGACAGUGUCAGGUGGGCAGUUUGACUGGGGCGGUCGCCUCCUAAAGAGUAACGGAGGCGCCCAAAGGUUCCCUCAGAAUGGAUGGAAAUCAUUCGCAGAGUGUAAAGGCACAAGGGAGCUUGACUGCGAGACUGACAAGUCGAGCAGGGACGAAAGUCGGGCUUAGUGAUCCGGUGGUUCCGCAUGGAAGGGCCAUCGCUCAACGGAUAAAAGCUACCCCGGGGAUAACAGGCUUAUCUCCCCCAAGAGUCCACAUCGACGGGGAGGUUUGGCACCUCGAUGUCGGCUCGUCGCAUCCUGGGGCUGUAGUCGGUCCCAAGGGUUGGGCUGUUCGCCCAUUAAAGCGGCACGCGAGCUGGGUUCAGAACGUCGUGAGACAGUUC
rnacentral:rRNA from 1 species